GCUCUUUACAGGACUUAUUUUUUUUUAAGAGAGAAAGAGGUAUUAUAUAAUACUGAUGUAAUAGAAUGCAGUUGGAGUUCCAGCAUGCAAUAGAGUAACUAUGGUAUUCUUGAAAAGGCAGAUUCUCAGUUAAAAUCUUCCCAUUUUAGAAAAACAAGGAGGCUCAAAUUAUGUUACGUUGAUAUCUGUAGAUUGCUCAGUAUUGUCCAGGACCGUGGGAGUGCAUGAGCAAGAAUACGGGGGGGCUCUGGUUCCACAUCCUUGUUUUACAAGUAAGGAAACUGAGGCACAGAGACAUUCCCUGCUCAAGGUUCAUAGCUGCUCAGUCCAGGUCCUCAUAGCUGCUCAGUCAGGUCCUCAUAGCUGCUCAGUCCAGGUCCUCAUAGCUCAGUCCAGGUCCUCAUAGCUGCUCAGUCCAGGUCCUCAUAGCUGCUCAGUCAGGUGCUCAUAGCUGCUCAGUCCAGGUCCUCAUAGCUGCUCAGUCAGGUGCUCAUAGCUGUUCAGUCCAGGUCCUCAUAGCUGCUCAGUCACGUGCUCAUAGCUGCUCAGUCCAGGUGCUUAUAGCUGCUCAGUCCAGGUCCUCAUAGCUGCUCAGUCCAGGUCCUCAUAGCUCAGUCCAGGUCCUCAUAGCUGCUCAGUCCAGGUCCUCAUAGCUGUUCAGUCCAGGUCCUCAUAGCUGUUUAGUCCAGGUCCUCAUAGCUGUCAGUCCAGGUCCUCAUAGCUGUCAGUCCGGGUGCUCAUAGCUGUCAGUCCAGGUCCUCUGCCUCCAGUAUGCAGAACUCUGCACACGGGAGGAGGAAGCUUCUGUCUGCGGCUCUCAGCUUCCUCUUCAUCCGUGAAGGGAGCAGUCGGCGAGUGUGAGUGGGUGUCCAGGCUGCCUCCUGGGGCCUCAUGCUGUUUAAAAAACAUCCACC
rnacentral:lncRNA from 1 species